UUAGAUUAAGUUAUUAAGGGCGCACGGUGGAUGCCUUGGCACUAGAAGCCGAUGAAGGACGUUACUAACGACGAUAUGCUUUGGGUAGCUGUAAGUAAGCGUUGAUCCAGAGAUUUCCGAAUGGGGAAACCCAGCACAAGUUAUGUUGUGUUAUCGACAAGUGAAUUCAUAGCUUGUCAGAAGGCAGACCCGGAGAACUGAAACAUCUUAGUACCCGGAGGAAGAGAAAGAAAAUUCGAUUCCCUGAGUAGCGGCGAGCGAAACGGGAAGAGCCCAAACCAAUAAGCUUGCUUAUUGGGGUUGUAGGACACUCUAUACGGAGUUACAAAGGAAUAUAUUAAACGAAUCAUCUGGAAAGUUGAAUCAAAGAAGGUAAUAAUCCUGUAGUUGAAAAUAUAUUCUCUCUUGAGUGGAUCCUGAGUACGACGGAGCACGUGAAAUUCCGUCGGAAUCUGGGAGGACCAUCUCCUAAGGCUAAAUACUCUCUAGUGACCGAUAGUGAACCAGUACCGUGAGGGAAAGGUGAAAAGUACCCCGGAAGGGGAGUGAAAGAGAACUUGAAACCGUGUGCUUACAAGUAGUCAGAGCCCGUUAAUGGGUGAUGGCGUGCCUUUUGUAGAAUGAACCGGCGAGUUACGAUCUGAUGCAAGGUUAAGCAGAAAAUGUGGAGCCGUAGCGAAAGCGAGUCUGAAUAGGGCGUGUAGUAUUUGGUCGUAGACCCGAAACCAGGUGAUCUACCCAUGGUCAGGUUGAAGUUCAGGUAACACUGAAUGGAGGACCGAACCGACUUACGUUGAAAAGUGAGCGGAUGAACUGUGGGUAGCGGAGAAAUUCCAAUCGAACUUGGAGAUAGCUGGUUCUCUCCGAAAUAGCUUUAGGGCUAGCCUCAAGUGAUGAUUAUUGGAGGUAGAGCACUGUUUGGACGAGGGGCCCCUCUCGGGUUACCGAAUUCAGACAAACUCCGAAUGCCAAUUAAUUUAACUUGGGAGUCAGAACAUGGGUGAUAAGGUCCGUGUUCGAAAGGGAAACAGCCCAGACCACCAGCUAAGGUCCCAAAAUAUAUGUUAAGUGGAAAAGGAUGUGGCGUUGCCCAGACAACUAGGAUGUUGG
rnacentral:rRNA from 1 species